UCACUUGUUCGAACACUUGUCACAACAUUAUUGUACAUGUCCUUGAUGAGGGUAAUGUACUUUGCUGGGACUUUGUGUUUCUUCAAGGCCCACCACAUGACAUUCCGCGGUAUCUUAUCAUAGGCCUUCUCCAAGUCAAUGAACUAAUCCCCAGUUAGUGUGCUUGAAAAAUUAUUGCUUGUCAUGAUAAAUUUUAUGGCAUCAACUCGGUAUUGUGAUUAGUGACCUAGUACUCCGUAUUUGUUUAGUGUAGACAGCUAACUUCUUUUUUCUUAUUUUUUAGUGAUACGCGUGUUUUGCUAUGUCUUAUGUUGAUAGUAUAUUCUUUUUUUUGUAUUAUUCAUGUCCAGUCACUGGAAUAAUGCUUUUCUAGAUUUUCCUAGACUUUGUGACAAUUAAUUUGUAGUGCGAUCAUUGAGUUUCUGACAUCCUAUUGCAUAAAAUUCUGUUGUAAUGUUUGUUGGAUCAUUGAGUAGUUAAUAUUGAUUCUGAGCUUGUUGGAUCAUUGAACUUCUGCGUGCACUUCUGUUAUCUGAGAGACACUCACGAUCCCGCAUUUCGUGUUUGCGGCGAGCGAUGAACGAUUACGUUUUGCGUUCCCGCGUUUUGUGUUCGCCGUCUGGUUUUGAAUUUGGAUUACGGAGACGGGGAGAGGCCAGAGUAAGGUCAGUUUCAGAUCGGUUUCGUCGCUGCGUUGAUCGUCGGUGAUUUCCAGACCUCAAACGCAUGCGCCCUUGUGAUACUCUAAUUUGGCUCGUGGUCGUUACGGUUGUUCUUACGUUCUUGAAUAACCCCAUCUUAUUCGCAGAGAUGGUGUGAUUCGUUAUGGUUCUUCUGAUGGCUGCUUAUGUUCUUUCGAAUUGGGUUCUUCUUGUAAUGCUUUGCCUAUGUUCCCAAUGUCUAUCUUUCCAUAUAUGGGGAUGCGUUCAGAGGUGCAAACCAUGUAGGCCGUGGUGUGUUUAUACUAUCUAUGGUGUGUUUUACACUAUCUGAUGUGGAACGUAGAAAUAUUGAUAUCACUUCUGUGCUAGUAUACUAGAUAUGGUGUGUUUCAUCCAAGUUAACCACAUCUCUUACAAAUUUUCCUUGGAGUGAUUGAUGUCUUGACGAAUAUAAUCAUUUAUGCUAACUUGGUAUUGGUAGUUCCUGAGGUAACACACCAAUACUUGUUUAGUGCAGACAAUUGACUAUUCUUUUUUCUGAACUUUUUUGUGAUAUGUGUGUUAUGUGGAUAUCAUAUUCUAAUGCUUUUCUAAGUAUUCAAGGUACAGACUUGUGGAUCUGGACAUGUCACAUUUGCUCUUUAUUGGGUUGCUAAGGACACUGAACAGUUUGGCUGGGCCACUGCACGGCCUGGCUAAUCAGGAAGUGUUGCUAUGAAUCAAAUCUAUAAUGAAACAGACUGGGAGUAACAUCACAACCGACCAACUUAAAGAAUAUGUAUGGAAGACACUGAAGAGUGGAAAGGUUGUAGUGAUUAGAGAGAAGCUUGCAGAACUGUGCUGGCAUUGACUUGGACUCAGGAAUCAGGAUGCUUGAUGACACAAACAAAUUAUCCAAGUGCGUCCAGAUUGAACGACUCUAUUUGGAGGAUGAUGAUGCAGUGAAUGCUGAAGCUUUUAUCAACAAAGCCUCGUUUUUGGUCACAAACAGCAACCAGGAAGUUCUGAAAUUACAAUACAAGGUCUGCUAUGCGAGUAAAUUCUUGGAAGCUUCAAUUCGAUACUAUGGUAUCUGAGCAACGCCAAAUUGGGGAUGAGUUGUUCCUGGCUAUGGUCAUGGAGUUCUACGUAAUACAGACCCAAGAUACUCGUGCCAAAGGGGGUUCACAUUGAAAUAUUUACCCGACCCAAGAUACUCGUGCCGAAGGGAGUUCACAUUGAAAUAUUUACCCGAGGACCCACUUUUCCAACUGGAAUGAAGAUCUGAAUCACCCUCACCUCUCUAGAGAAAUCAAUUUACUCAUUCAAGUUCUAGAAUUUCUUUAUAGUUUUCUGGGUUUACUUUAGUUUUGCAUGUAUUAGCUUUCUCUUUGUGCCCCUAUCUAUCCUUGUUUCUUGUGUGCGAGCGCUCCAUUCUGUGUGUGUGACUGGCUUGACUUUGUGUGUGUGGCUUGAUUAUGUGUGUGGCUUGAUUGUGUGUGUGGCUUGACUGUGUGAAUGGGCUUGACUGUGUGUGUGAGAUUGUGUGUGGCUUGAUGGUGAAUAUGUGUGUGGCUUGACUGUGUGUGUAUGGCUUGACUAUGUGUGUGAUUGUGUGUGAAUAUUGCAUUUGCUUGACGGUGUGGUUUGUAUAACUUGUGUUUUACAUGUCAGGAUUGAUUGUUGUUUGUUGAAUUUGAACAGAUCUAACACUAUUCUUUUUUCUAAACUUUUUUGUGAUUAUGUCUUAUGUGGAUACCAUACUCUUUUUUGUAUUAUUGUUGUCCAGUCACUGGAAUAACGCUUUUCUAAGUAUUUAAGGUACAACCAUGUAGAUCUAGACAUGAUGCUGAUGGGUUGGGUUUGCAUACAAUGCAGUAUGGACCAACAAAAUGGUCUCAUUGCAAGGUGGACAUAUAGGCAAGACAUGUCAAGAGAGAGCUGAUUGGUAAAUAUGAAGCUGAUUUUGAAUUCAUACAUACAGAGAGAAGCUUGGACUAUUGAGGAGGAACAUGCACUGAUUAAUGCCCAUCGGGUAUAUGGGAAUAGAUGGGCAGAAAUAGCAAAAGUUCUUCCUAGAAGGAAUCGGGUACUUCUAUUUGUUCUUAGGUUCUUCUCACCUAUAGUUAAAGUCAAAGAAAACAAAACCAAGUGGAUUAUUGGAGUUACAAGAUACACAAAAUCAUCGGUCAUCUAAAUCUUCUUUUCUAAUAUGAUUGUUGGUGCUACUCAUGAGGCUAGCCACCGGCUUGGAAGCAAUGAGAGGCAAUCACUGUUGUCAAUUUGAAACGUAUAAUUUUUUAGGAACGAAGUUCUGAAUCACCCUCACGCCUCGAGAGAAAUCAGUUUAGUCAUUCAGGUUCUGGUAUUUCUUUAUAGCUUUCUGAGUUUACCUCGGUCUUUCAUGUAUUUGCUUUCUGUUUGUGCCCCUAUCUAUUUCUUUUUCUCGUGUGCAAGCGCUCCAUUCUGUGUGUGUCUGACUUUGUGUGGCUUGACUCUCUUGUGUGUGGCUUGACUGUCUGUGUGUGUCACUGUGUGUUUGACUGUGUGUGAAUAUUGCAUUUGAUUGUGAUGCGUUACUGUGUGUUUGACUCUGUGUGUGUGAUUGUGUGAAUAUUGUGCAUUUGACUGAUGUGUGACUGUGUGAGUAUUGUAUUUUGACAAUGACUGUGUGUGGCUUGACUGUGUGUGUGGCUGGUCUGCUUUGCUGAAUGAUUGGUUGUUGUGGCUUAACACUGCCUCUGCCGGUCCCAAGCCCGGAUGUGAAAAUGUGGAGGGAGUCUGUUUCUUGUGUGCAAGUGCUACAUUGUGUGUGUGUGACUGUGUGUGUGAUGUGUCUGUAUCUAUGUAUGUUUCUUUUGUCUUGAUUGUGUGCAAGUGCUUGAUUGGGUGUGUGCUUGUGUGACCAUGCGUGUAUUGCAUUUGCUUGAUGGUGUGGUUUGUAUAACUUGUGUUUUAUAUGUCAGGAUUGAUUGUUGUUUGUUGAAUUUGAACAGAUCUAACACUAUUCUUUUUUCUAAACUUUUUUGUGAUUAUGUCUUAUGUGGAUACCAUACUCUUUUUUGUAUUAUUGUUGUCCAGUCACUGGAAUAACGCUUUUCUAAGUAUUUAAGGUACAUCCAUGUAGAUCUAGACAUGAUGCUGACGGGUUGGGUUUGCAUACAAUGCAGUAUGGACCAACAAAAUGGUCUCAUUGCAAGGUGGACAUAUAGGCAAGAAAUGUCAAGAGAGAGAGAAGCUUGGACUAUUGAGGAGGAACAUGCACUGAUUAAUGCCCAUCGGGUAUAUGGAAAUAGAUGGGCAGAAAUAGCAAAAGUUCUUCCUAGAAGGAAUCGGGUACUUCUAUUUGUUCUUAGGUUCUUCUCACCUAUAGCUAAAGUCAAAGAAGACAAAACCAAGUGGAUUAUUGGAGUUACAAGAUAUACAAAAUCAUCGGUCAUCUAAAUCUUCUUUUCUAAUAUGAUUGUUGGUGCUGCUCAUGAGGCUAGCCACCGGCUUGGAAGCAAUGAGAGGCAAUCACUGUUGUCAACUUGAAACGUAUAAUUUUUUAGGAACGAAGAUCUGAAUCACCCUCACGCCUCGAGAGAAAUCAGUUUAGUCAUUCAGGUUCUGGUAUUUCUUUAUAGCUUUCUGAGUUUACUUCGGUCUUUCAUGUAUUUGCUUUCUGUUUGUGUCCCUAUCUAUUUAUGUUUCUUGUGUGCAAGCGCUCCAUUUUGUGUGUGUCUGACUUUGUGUGGCUUGACUCUCUUGUGUGUGUGGCUUGACUGUCUGUGUGUGUCACUGUGUGUUUGACUUUGUGUGAAUAUUGCAUUUGAUUGUGAUGCGUUACUGUGUGUUUAACUCUGUGUGUGUGAUUGUGUGAAUAUUGUGCAUUUGACUGAUGUGUGACUGUGUGAGUAUUGUAUUUUGAUAAUGAUUGUGUGUGGCUUGACUGUGUGUGUGGCUUGUCUGCUUUGCUGAAUGAUUGGUUGUUGUGGCUUAACACUGCCUCUGCCGGUCCCAAGCCCGGAUGUGAAAAUGUGGAGGGAGUCUGUUUCUUGUGUGCAAGUGCUACAUUGUGUGUGACUGUGUGUGUGAUGUGUCCGUAUCUAUGUCUGUUUCUUUUGUCUUGAUUGUGUGCAAGUGCUUGAUUGGGUGUGUGCUUGUGUGACCAUGCGUGUAUUGCAUUUGCUUGACGGUGUGCUUUGUAUAACUUGUGUUUUAUAUGUCAGGAUUGAUUGUUGCUUGUUGAAUUUGAACAGAUCUAACACUAUUCUUUUUUCUAAACUUUUUUGUGAUUAUGUCUUAUGUGGAUACCAUACUCUUUUUUGUAUUAUUGUUGUCCAGUCACUGGAAUAACGCUUUUCUAAGUAUUUAAGGUACAUCCAUGUAGAUCUAGACAUGAUGCUGAUGGGUUGGGUUUGCAUACAAUGCAGUAUGGACCAACAAAAUGGUCUCAAUGCAAGGUGGACAUAUAGGCAAGAAAUGUCAAGAGAGAGAGAAGCUUGGACAAUUGAGGAGGACAUGCACUGAUUAAUGCCCAUCGGGUAUAUGGGAAUAGAUGGGCAGAAAUAGCAAAAGUUCUUCCUAGAAGGAAUCGGGUACUUCUAUUUGUUCUUAGGUUCUUCUCACCUAUAGCUAAAGUCAAAGACGACAAAACCAAGUGGAUUAUUGGAGUUACAAGAUACACAAAAUCAUCGGUCAUCUAAAUCUUCUUUUCUAAUAUGACUUUUGGUGCUGCUCAUGAGGCUAGCCACCGGCUUGGAAGCGAUGAGAGGCAAUCACUGUUGUCAACUUGAAAUGUAUAAUUUUUUAGGAACGAAGAUCUGAAUCACCCUCCCACCUCGAGAGAAAUCAGUUUAAUCAUUCAGGUUCUGAUUUCUUUAUUCAUGUAUUUGCUUUCUGUUUGUGCCCCUAUCUAUUUCUAUUUCUUGUGUGCAAGCGCUCCAUUCUGUGUGUGUCCGACUUUGUGUGGCUUGACGCUCUUGUGUGUGGCUUCACUGUCAGUGUGUGUCACUGUGUGUUUGACUGUGUGUGAAUAUUGUAUUUGACUGUGAUGCGUUACUGUUUGUUUGACUCUGUGUGUGUGAUUGUGUGAAUAUUGUGCAUUUGACUGUGCUGUGUGAUUGUGUGAGUAUUGUAUUUUGACAAUGACUGUGUGUGGCUUGACUGUGUGUGUGUGGCUUGUAUGCUUUGCUGAAUGAUUGGUUGUUGUGGCUUAACACUGUCUCUGCCGGUCCCAAGCCCGGAUGUGAAAAUGUGAAGGGAGUCUAUUUCUUGUGUGUAAGUGCUACAUUGUGUGUGUGACUGUGUGUGUGAUGUGUGCGUAUCUAUCUCUGUUUCUUUUGUCUUGAUUGUGUGCAAGUGCUUGAUUGGGUGUGUGCUUGUGUGACCAUGCGUGUAUUGCAUUUGCUUCACGGUGUGGUUUGUAUAACUUGUGUUUUAUAUGUCAGGAUUGAUUGUUGUUUGUUGAAUUUGAACAGAUCUAACACUAUUCUUUUUUCUAAUCUUUUUUGUGAUUAUCUUAUGUGGAUACCAUACUCUUUUUUGUAUUAUUGUUGUCCAGUCACUGGAAUAACGCUUUUCUAAGUAUUUAAGGUACAACCAUGUAGAUCUAGACAUGACGCUGAUGGGUUGGGUUUGCAUACAAUGCAGUACGGACCAACAAAAUGGUCUCAUUGCAAGGUGGACAUAUAGGCAAGACAUGUCAAGAGAGAGAGAAGCUUGGACUAUGGAGGAGGAACAUGCACUGAUUAAUGCCCAUCGGAUAUAUGGGAAUAGAUGGGCAGAAAUAGCAAAAGUUCUUCCCUGAAGGAAUCGGGUACUUCUAUUUGUUCUUAGGUUCUUCUCACCUAUAGCUAAAGUCAAAGAAGACAAAACCAAGUGGAUUAUUGGAGUUACAAGAUACACAAAAUCAUCGGUCAUCUAAAUCUUCUUUUCUAAUAUGACUGUUGGUGCUGCUCAUGAGGCUAGCCACCGGCUUGGAAGCGAUGAGAGGCAAUCACUGUUGUCAACUUGAAACGUAUAAUUUUUUAGGAACGAAGAUCUGAAUCACCCUCCCGCCUCGAGAGAAAUCAGUUUAGUCAUUCAGAGAGAAGCUUGGACUAUUGAGGAGGAACAUGCACUGAUUAAUGCCCAUCGGGUAUAUGGGAAUAUAUGGGCAGAAAUAGCAAAACUUCUUCCUAGAAGGAAGCGGGUACUUCUAUUUGUUCUUAGGUUCUUCUCACCUAUAGCUAAAGUCAAAGACGACGAAGCCAAGUGGAUUUUUGGAGUUACAAGAUACACAAAAUCAUCGGUCAUCUAAAUCUUCUUUUCUAAUAUGACUGUUGGUGCUGCUCAUGAGGCUAGCCACCGGCUUGGAAGCGAUGAGAGGCAAUCACUGUUGUCAACUUGAAACGUAUAAUUUUUUAGGAACGAAGAUCUGAAUCACCCUCCCGCCUCGAGAGAAAUCAGUUUAGUCAUUCAGUAUGGACCAACAAAAUGGUCUCAUUGCAAGGUGGACAUAUAGGCAAGAAAUGUCAAGAGAGAGAGAAGCUUGGACUAUUGAGGAGGAACAUGCACUGAUUAAUGCCCAUCAGGUAUAUGGGAAUAGAUGGGCAGAAAUUGCAAAAGUUCUUCCUAGAAGGAAUCGGGUACUUCUAUUUGUUCUUAGGUUCUUCUCACCUAUAGCUAAAGUCAAAGACGACAAAACCAAGUGGAUUAUUGGAGUUACAAGAUACACAAAAUCAUCGGUCAUCUAAAUCUUCUUUUCUAAUAUGACUGUUGGUGCUGCUCAUGAGGCUAGCCACCGGCUUGGAAGCGAUGAGAGGCAAUCACUGUUGUCAACUUGAAACGUAUAAUUUUUUAGGAACGAAGAUCUGAAUCACCCUCCCGCCUCGAGAGAAAUCAGUUUAGUCAUUCAGGUACAACCAUGUAGAUCUAGACAUGAUGCUGAUGGGUUGGGUUUGCAUACAAUGCAGUACGGACCAACAGAAUGGUCUCAUUGCAAGGUGGACAUAUAGGCAAGACAUGUCAAGAGAGAGAGAAGCUUGGACUAUUGAGGAGGAACAUGCACUGAUUAAUGCCCAUCGGGUAUAUGGGAAUAGAUGGGCAGAAAUAGCAAAAGUUCUUCCUAGAAGGAAUCGGGUACUUCUAUUUGUUCUUAUGUUCUUCUCACCUAUAGGUAAAGUCAAAGAAGACAAAACCAAGUGGAUUAUUGGAGUUACAAGAUACACAAAAUCAUCGGUAAGUUUCUAUCCUUUCAAAUGGGCGGAUUAUGAAUUUUGAUCAGUUUGUCUGACUUGUUUUAAACUGAAUCCUUGAUUCCUUGAUAACUUUGAUCAUAAACUGAUUCCCAAGUAUUUUUGACUCAUAUGAUGCUUAUUACUCCCUCCAUUCCUUUAUAUAAGGUGUAUUUAUUUUUUGAUAAAAUUCCAUAAUGUAAGGUGCAUUUCUUCUAAUUCCUCAUAAUUCCCUUAUUAGACAUCUAGAAAAAUGGAAAGUAUCCCUCUCCUGAUUGUCUGUAUCUCUCCUUUAGCAAAAGAAGGAAAGUAUCUCUCUGUCGAUUGCAUGCAUCUCUUACUUUCCUGGACUAAUUGAUUUACUUACCACUAAUCAACAAAUUUGCCAAGGGUAUUUCAGUCCUAACAUGUCUAUAAUUUCGUGCCUUGGUCACCGUGCUGAAAAUAAUACACCUUACAUAAUCGUAUGGAGGGAGUACAUCACAGGUCAUCUAAAUCUUCUUUUCUAAUAUGACUGCUUGUGCUGCUCAUGAGGUAAGCUACUUUUCUUGCUUUCAAGAAUAAAUCAUUCACAUCGUGGUCACUCACAUUUUAAGGUGCUCAUGCCAUUUCAGGCUAGCCACCGGCUUGGAAGCGAUUUUAGGACCUUGUUGCUUGCAUUCUCGUGUCUUUUGGCAAGGAGAAAUUAUCAUUUGGAGGGGAAAAGACAGCUGAAAACAUGCAAGAUAGUAUAUGCAAAAGACAUUCCCUUCAGUUAUUGAAUCAGAGUUCAGCGGUGAAGAACACUACAAUUUUUUGGUUGAUGGAUUGAUCUGAAUAGAUUGUAAGGAAUUUCCAUGAAGUGGUUAUUCAAAGAAUGGAACCAAUUUUAUGGUGAGUCUUACAGAAAUGUAGGGAAAGGCUGCGUACUAUAGACCCAAAGUGGUCAGACCCUUCCCUGGACCCUGCGCAAGCGGGAGCUACAUGCACCAGGCUUUCUAAAAUGGACGUGCAUAGAUCUGAGAAAGAAGAGAACAUGAAUCUAGCGGACGGAGGUCAUGUAGUAUUCACUAAUAGAUGAUAGAACCACAUAUUUUGGAAAUUCCUUGACAAAAAACACAAGAGCAUCAUUGUUUGGUCAAUUGCAGGUCAAUGUUGGCACUGGCCAGAUCAAGCAGGCAGUGGCGACACUAGACGAGGCGUCCUUGCACUGCAAGGCUGCCCUCGACAUAUGUGAAAAGUUUGGCGAGUUAAUUCUUUUCCUCGAAUCAAACGGAAAUCUGAAAACUAUCAAAGAGAUACCAAAUGAUGAAUAUUUCAGAUGUCGACAGGCAUGGUUGACUAUGAUGUGCUCAUCGUUGACUCCACCACCGUUGGUUUUGAGGAUGGUACCUCAAGAAUGACCAGACCUGUGAGCACGCCGUCCUUGCAUUCACUCUUGGAGUGAAGAAGAGUAUCUGCUGUUUAAUAAGAGCCUUCUGAUCUUCGUACUAUAAAGUCUGGAUGUGAUGGCCAUUGUGCUUACUAUCAAAACUGUUACUUGAUGAGAACAUUCUAAGCUAAUUCAAGAUAUGUGCUUCCCCCUUGAUGAACUAUUAUACAUACUUCAGCAGGAAAAACGUGUUUAAUCUACCAUGAACGUAAAUGGAUGAUAGCAGGAUGUUAAAACUUCAUAUAUGUUGUUGCUCAUCGGAUAUAACUAUAACAUGAUGGUCUCAGUUUAUUUUUCAGAGUUCGAAACCUAUAUUAGUCAUCAUGAGAGUGAGAUUUGUAAAUUCCACCUUGAAUCAGUGAACACUUUCCCUUUGCUGUACAAUUUUUUUGUUCUUAUGAUGGUACCAUGCUUGCUAAUUAUAAGAGGUACAAAUAAACUAUUCCUUUGUUUGUCUAGAAAUAGUUUUUCUACUUUCUAUGCAUUGAAGAGAUAGCAAAUCCCUUGCUACAUGUACUAGGGCGAUGCCCAGGUUCACCAAAGGGUCUUUUCAUGCAUGAAAAAGAGAGUAUAUAUCUUCUAGCUAUUAUCAGGUUGUAGGUGUACACAUGGUUAUUGAGUACCAUGACAUAAUCAUCCAUAGUUUCGUGAAAUUUGAAUUCCCAUCUCUUUAUCGUAUUAUUCAUUUUGCACUCGGCUUUCAUAGAAGAUAAAGGUUUGUUUUGUUUUGUUCAUACGACCUGUUUUGGCUUUUGAGAUCAGUUGAAAGCUCUUGAUAUUUUGAAGUUUAUACUGCACUUCACACAAAAAUAUCUGGGCAUAUGUUUCUUUAUUCAGCGAAGUGAACACCUAUACUCAGAUGCUUUUUCCACGGGCAUUCACCGUUUACUUGAUUACUGAUGGAAGGAUCUCCGUGCCAAUUGCUGUUGGGAACCAUUUGCCUCUACACCGAUAACCCUCAUGUUGUAUUAUACCAUGAGCUACCAUGACGUCCUCCACCGACCGCUAUUUGAACCUCAGCGCAUUCUUCUGUAAAAGUGACUCGCAUCAAGUCUUUUGCGCUUUCCUCUUGACUUUCUAAAUGCGGAUCAUAUUAUGUGUUAUUGCUUUCUUUAAGAUAUAUCACUGGCCAUGGAUUUCCUUUUAUCCGUCACCACCUUCAUACCUUUCUAUCCUGGAAUUUAUAUGGUGUACUGAGCUAUAUGGGAUUGGUGUUUA